AUGGUGGUGUAUGUUGAUGAUAUAGUGAUUGCUGGCUCUACCCCCGCCGUGGUGGAUCGUCUUGUGCAGUCGUUGUCUGCUAGCUUUCCCAUUAAAGAUUUGGGUCGCCUCAAGUACUUUCUUGGUUUGGAAGUGUCCUUUCAUUCAGGGGGCAUGACCUUGACGCGGAAAAAGUAUGCUUUGGAUCUUCUUUAUCGCGUCAACAUGGAGAACUGCAAGGCCACUUCCACUCCGCUUGCUACAUCCGAGAGUCUCUCACGUCAUAGUGGUGCACUACUGGGUAGAGAUUACUCCUUUCGGUAUCGCAGUGUGGUUGGAGCACUUCAGUAUUUGACCCUCACUCGUCCUGAUAUCUCCUUCGCAGUGAACAAAGUGUGUCAGUUUCUGUCUCAGCCAACGGAGGAUCAUUGGGAAGCAGUCAAGCGUAUUCUGAGAUAUGUCAAAGGUACGCUAGACAUGGGACUACGGAUUCGUAAGUCCAGAUUUACUGGAAUGAGUAUAUUCACCGAUGCAGACUGGACAGGCUGUGUUGAUGAUAGGCGCUCCACUGGUGGUUUUGCUAUAUUUGUUGGACCUAACCUUGUAUCUUGGAGCUCGAAGAAGCAACCCAUAGUCUCGAGAUCAAGCACCGAGGCAGAGUAUAAGGCAUUGGCCAAUGGUGCGGCUGAAGCCAUUUGGAUAGACUCAGUUCUCACAGAACUUGGAGUCCUACGGCAGCGCACUCCUAUAUUGUGGUGUGAUAACUUAUGGGCAAUUUACCUGACGGCGAAUCCAGUGUUUCAUGCUCGGACUAAACACAUUGAGAUUGAUUUCCACUUUGUGAGAGAACGAGUAGCUGCUUGUGAACUGGAAGUCAGGUUUAUUUCUACAGAUGAUCAGUUAGUGGAUGUAUUUACUAAACCCGCUACUAGACAGAUGCUAGACCGUUUUAGAACCAAUCUGAAUCUUGUAUGUAGUUCAGAUUGA
rnacentral:rRNA from 1 species